UACAGAGGGGGCAAGCGUUGUUCGGAAUUACUGGGCGUAAGGGGCGCGUAGGUGGCCUUCUAAGUUGAACGUGAAAUCCCUGGGCUCAACCCAGGAACUGCGUCCAAGACUGGGAGGCUUGAAUCCGGGAGAGGGAUGCGGAAUUCCAGGUGUAGCGGUGAAAUGCGUAGAUAUCUGGAGGAACACCGGUGGCGAAGGCGGCAUCCUGGACCGGUAUUGACACUGAGGCGCGAAAGCCAGGGGAGCAAACGGG
rnacentral:rRNA from 1 species